rnacentral:rRNA from 1 species
UAAGGAAUAUUGGACAAUGGGCGCAAGCCUGAUCCAGCCAUGCCGCGUGAAGGAAGACUGCGCUCAGCGUUGUAAACUUCUUUUGGAUGGGAAUAAUAUUGUCGACGUGAUCGGCACUUGAAGGUACCAUCAGAAUAAGCACCGGCUAACUCCGUGCCAGCAGCCGCGGUAAUACGGAGGGUGCAAGCGUUAUCCGGAAUCACUGGGUUUAAAGGGUGCGUAGGCUGUUCGAUAAGUCAGUUGUGAAAUU